rnacentral:rRNA from 1 species
GAGUUUGAUCCUGGCUCAGGACGAACGCUGGCGGCGUGCCUAAUACAUGCAAGUAGAACGCUGAAGAGAGGAGCUUGCUCUUCUUGGAUGAGUUGCGAACGGGUGAGUAACGCGUAGGUAACCUGCCUUGUAGCGGGGGAUAACUAUUGGAAACGAUAGCUAAUACCGCAUAACAAUGGAUGACACAUGUCAUUUAUUUGAAAGGGGCAAUUGUUCCACUACAAGAUGGACCUGCGUUGUAUUAGCUAGUAGGUGAGGUAAUGGCUCACCUAGGCGACGAUACAUAGCCGACCUGAGAGGGUGAUCGGCCACACUGGGACUGAGACACGGCCCAGACUCCUACGGGAGGCAGCAGUGGGGAAUAUUGGGCAAUGGGCGAAAGCCUGACCCAGCAACGCCGCGUGAAGGAAGAAGGUCUUCGGAUUGUAAACUUCUUUUAUCAGGGACGAAGUAAGUGACGGUACCUGAUGAAUAAGCCACGGCUAACUACGUGCCAGCCGCCGCGGUAAUAC